UUGGAGUAAACUUCGGAGGCGGGCGAAACGGGUGAGUAACAUGUUGAAGUAAUCUGCCCUUCACUUCGGGAUAGCUUCGGGAAACCGAAAUUAAUACCGGAUACGACGCACUCCUGCAUGGGAUGUGUGUGGAAAGUUUUUUCGGUGGAGGAUGUGCUCGCGGCCUAUCAGCUUGUUGGUGGGGUAAUGGCCUACCAAGGCUUCGACGGGUAGCCGGCCUGAGAGGGUGACCGGCCACACUGGGACUGAGACACGGCCCAGACUCCUACGGGAGGCAGCAGUGGGGAAUAUUGGACAAUGGGCGGAAGCCUGAUCCAGCAACGCCGCGUGAGGGAUGACGGCCUUCGGGUUGUAAACCUCUUUCAGUACCGACGAAGCGCAAGUGACGGUAGGUACAGAAGAAGCACCGGCCAACUACGUGCCAGCAGCCGCGGUAAUA
rnacentral:rRNA from 1 species